UACGAAGGGGGGCUAGCGUUGCUCGGAAUCACUGGGCGUAAAGCGCACGUAGGCGGCUUUCUAAGUCAGGGGUGAAAUCCUGGAGCUCAACUCCAGAACUGCCUUUGAUACUGGAGAGCUAGAGUCCGGAAGAGGUGAGUGGAACUGCGAGUGUAGAGGUGAAAUUCGUAGAUAUUCGCAAGAACACCAGUGGCGAAGGCGGCUCACUGGCCCGAUACUGACGCUGAGGCACGAAAGCGUGGGGAGCAAACAGG
rnacentral:rRNA from 1 species